UCUGGGUUAGGUUAUUUAAACUCUUAGUUUGUGAUACUAAAAAUAUGCUUAGCAUACCCGGAA
rnacentral:tRNA from 1 species